GAGGGAGGAGGAGGCAAAAGCCCAAACUGCCAUGUGUUUGCUGGAAGGAUGGCAAAAAAAGAAAACGGAGAUGGAGGAAGAAAGAAACCUUGGUUUCUAAAAGCCGUGCAAGUGAAAACUGGAAGUUUGACAGCAGGCCAGCAGGGUAGAAGAGAAAGGAAGUUGCCUCGGGGCUCAUCUGCGCCCCAGGAAUGGCCUUGGAAGGUGGUAUUUUACAACAGGCAUAUGGUGCUGGCUUCGAUCAGAGAUCAUUUCCACUUGUGUGCCGCUUCUCAUGAUAAAUAAGAAACCCAUCAGAGAAGUAUCCUCGUGGGAAAACAGCCCAAUGAGAAGUUAAGAAAUUGGCUGAAAUCAGUCCCAACGCUACAACAUUCUGGAAAUUGCUUUUCUUUUGAAGAAUGGAGCCUACGAACUUGGAGGACACCUGCAGCGUCUGAGACUCUGCAUCCAACUUUUCCAUGUGCUUUUUUUCAAUUCCCCCACUGUGCACCAACCACAGGCAACACCAUUGCACUGGAUAAUGACGGCUCCGACCCUCAGAAUCUUUCACAAUCUGAGUUGAUCAUAAUUUUACCAUACCAUGAAGCAUGAAGUAAAAUGCCUGUGAGAAGUUUCAUGCGCAAUCUGGAAUGAGAACUGCUACACAGAAUUUCAUAAUUCAAAAAAUUACAAGUGGUGAUAACGGCUUGCAUGUUGCGGCACCUGAAGAUUUCAAAUCUCUACUCACAGGUUGUCAAGCCUAGUACUGGGAAGUGAGAGUGGAUUUCUUCUUCCCUUUCAUGCUUCCCCGAACAACAGGACCCUCAGAGAGUACUGCCCAGGAGCCACGACAGUGAAUCCAAUGGUGGACAGUGACAAGAAGGAUCAAGAGAGAAUCUUCUCACGGCCCAUUCCUUAACAGGGAAUGUCCCAUGUCAGCUGGAUAGUCCUGGGGACCACUGGUGAUAAAGGGUGUCCAUGGCAAAACUACGCAGACAGUGAAAAGCCCAGUGGUUGUCAGGGAUGUGGGGAGGGAGAGAUGGAUAGAGAGAGCACAGAGGAUUGUUAGAGCAGUGAAAAUACUCUGUAUGAUAUUAUAAUGGUGGAUACGUCAUUGUACAUUUAUUCAAACUCACAGAAUGUACAAUGCCAAGAGUGAACACUAAUGUAAACUACGGACUUUGGGUGAUAAUGAUGUAUCAGCGUAGGUUCAUCAGUUGAAACAAAUGUACC
rnacentral:lncRNA from 1 species